CUUAUUUUGGUGUAGCGGUUAGCACAGGAGACUCUUGACUCUCAAGACGGCAGUUCGAAUCUGUCACGGAAAA